rnacentral:rRNA from 1 species
CAGUCGCCACGGUAAUACAGAGGGUGCAAGCGUUAAUCGGAUUUACUGGGCGUAAAGCGUGUGUAGGUGGCUGUUCAAGUCGGUUGUGAAAGCCCUGGGCUCAACCUGGGAAUUGCUUCCGAGACUGAGCGGCUAGAGUACGGUAGAGGGCGGUGGAAUUUCCGGUGUAGCGGUGAAAUGCGUAGAUAUCGGAAGGAACACCAAUGGCGAAGGCAGCCGCCUGGGCCUGUACUGACACUGAGACACGAAAGCGUGGGGAUCAAACAGGAUUAGAUACCCCCGUAGUCCCUGUCUCUUAUAC